UCCUGGUGUAGCGGUGGAAUGCGCAGAUAUCAGGAGGAACACCGAUGGCGAAGGCAGGUCUCUGGGCUGUAACUGACGCUGAGGAGCGAAAGCAUGGGGAGCGAACAGGAUUAGAUACCCUGGUAGUCCAUGCCGUAAACGUUGGGCACUAGGUGUGGGGACCAUUCCACGGUUUCCGCGCCGCAGCUAACGCAUUAAGUGCCCCGCCUGGGGAGUACGGCCGCAAGGCUAAAACUCAAAGGAAUUGACGGGGGCCCGCACAAGCGGCGGAGCAUGCGGAUUAAUUCGAUGCAACGCGAAGAACCUUACCAAGNCUUGACAUGUUCUCGAUCGCCGUAGAGAUACGGUUUCCCCUUUGGGGCGGGUUCACAGGUGGUGCAUGGUUGUCGUCAGCUCGUGUCGUGAGAUGUUGGGUUAAGUCCCGCAACGAGCGCAACCCUCGUUCCAUGUUGCCAGCACGUAGUGGUGGGGACUCAUGGGAGACUGCCGGGGUCAACUCGGAGGAAGGUGAGGACGACGUCAAAUCAUCAUGCCCCUUAUGUCUUGGGCUUCACGCAUGCUACAAUGGCCGGUACAAUGGGUUGCGAUACUGUGAGGUGGAGCUAAUCCCAAAAAGCCGGUCUCAGUUCGGAUUGGGGUCUGCAACUCGACCCCAUGAAGUCGGAGUCGCUAG
rnacentral:rRNA from 1 species